CAGCCGCCACGGUAAUACGUAGGUGGCAAGCGUUGUCCGGAAUUAUUGGGCGUAAAGGGCUCGCAGGCGGUUUCUUAAGUCUGAUGUGAAAGCCCCCGGCUCAACCGGUGAGGGUCAUUGGAAACUGGGAAACUUGAGUGCAGAAGAGGAGAGUGGAAUUCCACGUGUAGCGGUGAAAUGUGUAGAGAUGUGGAGGAACACCAGUGGCGAAGGCGACUCUCUGGUCUGUAACUGACGCUGAGGAGCGAAAGCGUGGGGAGCGAACAGGAUUAGAUACCCCCGUAGUCCCUGUCUCUUAUAC
rnacentral:rRNA from 1 species